rnacentral:lncRNA from 1 species
UGUUUGAUUAAUAUAAUUAGAUUUCUGAGAUUUGAAUAAUAGCAUUUCAUCUUUGUGGAAGAAUUGGCUUUCUGUGUAUCAUUUUUUUCCGUCCUUAUACUUCUUCUCUCUCAACGAGAUUUAAAUCUGCGUCAACCGUUUCGUUCAAUCUUUUAUAAAAAUAAACUCAAUUGAAAAUGCGAAGUAAUUAGCUUUCGAAUUUAAAAUCUUGAAUACUGACAAUAAAGUCUUGGUCGCUGAUCGCAAAUUGUGAUACUCGUUUUUGU